rnacentral:rRNA from 1 species
ACGGGAGGCAGCAGUGAGGAAUAUUGGUCAAUGGGCGGAAGCCUGAACCAGCCAAGUCGCGUGAAGGAUGAAGGUAUUAUGUAUUGUAAACUUCUUUAGCUGUGGAGCAAUAAUCGCCAUGCAUGGCGAGAUGAGAGUACACAGAGAAUAAGGAUCGGCUAACUCCGUGCCAGCAGCCGCGGUAAUACGGAGGAUCCGAGCGUUAUCCGGAUUUAUUGGGUUUAAAGGGUGCGCAGGCGGCUUUCUAAGUCAGUGGUUAAAUAGCGGUGCUCAACGCCGUCCCGCCAUUGAUACUGGAGAGCUUGAUUGCGGUCGAGGUUUGCGGAAUUCGUCGUGUAGCGGUGAAAUGCUUAGAUAUGACGAAGAACUCCGAUUGCGAAGGCAGCUUACUGGGCCGCAACUGACGCUGAAGCUCGAAGGUGCGGGUAUCGAACAGGAUUAGAUACCCUGGUA